GGGACACGUGGUAUCCUGUCUGAAUAUGGGGGGACCAUCCUCCAAGGCUAAAUACUCCUGACUGACCGAUAGUGAACCAGUACCGUGAGGGAAAGGCGAAAAGAACCCCGGCGAGGGGAGUGAAAAAGAACCUGAAACCGUGUACGUACAAGCAGUGGGAGCACCUUCGGGUGUGACUGCGUACCUUUUGUAUAAUGGGUCAGCGACUUAUAUUCUGUAGCAAGGUUAACCGUAUAGGGGAGCCGCAGGGAAACCGAGUCUUAACUGGGCGUUAAGUUGCAGGGUAUAGACCCGAAACCCGGUGAUCUAGCCAUGGGCAGGUUG
rnacentral:rRNA from 1 species